AUCUUUGGGGAUGGGUGAAAUUCCAUACCGGCGGUAUAGCCCGCGAACACAAGCUCUUGUGCCGAACAGGUGAGAUUCCUGUGCCGACGGUCAAAGUCCGGAUGGGAAAAGAU
rnacentral:ncRNA from 1 species